rnacentral:tRNA from 1 species
GGGAAUUAGCUCAGUUGGUAGAGCAUUUGAUUCAUACCCGACAAAUUGAGGGUUCGAAUUCCCCC